UAAGGCAGCCAGUGAGCCAAAGGGUCAAAUUAAGAACCAGGCCAGAUUGCAGCCCCUGUCCAACCCAGAGCAGGCCCUGACUAAGACCUUCAAGCUACUCCACUCUGCCUCUGAUGACUGGGAGAAGAAGAUCGAGGGCUUGACCUUUCUCCGUGUGAUGGCUCAGAACCACAUGGACAUACUGAUGCCUAAACUCCUUGAUAUCUGCCUUGCCAUUAUAAAUGAGGUGAAGAACCUGCGCUCUGCAGUGUCCUGUGCUGCCAUGGCCACACUGGGUGACAUGUCCGUCCACCUCCAGAGGGCCAUGGACAGUGAGGUGUAGGGGACGGCACGCGUGCUGCUGCACAAAGCCAGCGAGGCCAACGCCUUCAUCCGGCAGGGAGCCAACUUUGCCCUGGGUCACAUGGUGCAGAGCUGCACCCCUACCCGUGUCAUGAAUGCCCUGCUGGUCGGUGGGCUGAGCUAAAGAGGGAGAGGGGUCAAUUAACACUCACUAAGGGGUAUACCUGGACUUCCACAAAUUAUCCCAUUAUCCAAGCCUCGAAAUUGAGAAGAUUGAAAUACUGCUAGUUUUGAAUUAACUGCCUUUUUCAUCAGCAUGCUAGGUUAUUCCACAACACUUCCGGCACCAACUCAC